rnacentral:misc_RNA from 1 species
AAGUCGUAACAAGGUUUCCGUAGGUGAACCUGCGGAAGGAUCAUUAUUGAAUUUAUUAAUGAGGAGUUGAGUUGUAGCUGGCCUUUUAACAUUGGCAUGUGCACACUCUUCUCUUUCAUCCACACACCCCUGUGCACUUGUGAGACAGUCAAGGUCCUUUGGGGUUGGGGGGCAGAGCUUUAUUGCAAAACCCUUUUUCCCCUUUUGCCUUUGCUGUCUACUCAAUUUAUACACACUCUAAUUAAUUUUAAAACGAAUGUAAUUGAUGUAACGCAUCUAAUACUAAGUUUCAACAACGGAUCUCUUGGCUCUC